AAUGUUAAAGUAGUACUUGCUGCUGGUGUACCAAAAGUAAGACUACCAAAUAAUGGUGCAGAUGUAGUUGGAACUGGAAAUAAACCAGCUGUAGUUGUUGUAGUAGUUACAUUUGAUCCUAAAAGUAAACCACUUGAUUGUGUUUGUGCAGAAGUUGCAGGUGCAGUAUUAAAUCCAAAACUAAGACCAGUAGUUGUUGUUGGUGUAGAAGAAGUUCCAAAAGUUAAUGUUGGUGCUGAAGUACUUGAACCAAAAGGUGUACUAGUUAAAUUAAAGCCUGUUGUAGGUCUAAAACAUAAUAAAAAAUCAAUAUUCUAGAUUAUUUAUAUGAAAAUUAAAUAUAAGAAUCUCAUUUUCAUACAAAAAGAAUUUAUAUAAAACUUUUUAUAAAACUUAUAUAAAAUUGUAUUUACUUUUGUCCAAAUCCAAAAUUUGUGUUGCUUGAAGUUGCAGGCGUUCCAAAUGUUAAAUUGUUCUCAUUUGUACGAAAAUAGUUACUUGAAGAGCGCCAUCUAUAAUGUAAAGAUGUUUGAUUUAAAUUUGAAUAUAUAUGUAAAUAAAUAUUAUAUAUACAUUUUUAUAGAAAAAUUUUUAUGUAAUACAAUUAUUUAUUUAUAUUUAUUUACAUUUAUAUCUAAAAAAUAAAAUAUUUAAAAUAUUUAUAAUUAAAACUUUACUUAAAUAAUAAAAUAUAAUUUAAAUAUAAAAACAAAAUAUAUAUAUAUAUAUUGUUUUAUUAAUUUGUUAAUUAUUGUGUUUUUAAUAAAUAAAUAAUAAAUAAUAAUAUUAUUAA